GAAAAAAAAAAGAAUACAGAAAUCCCAUGUAUCCGCUACCCAGUUUCCCCCAAUGGAAAACUAUGGCACAUCUUGCAAAACUGUGGCACAAUAUCACAAUCAAGAUAUUGAUGUGGAUACAGUCAAGAUACUGAGAAUUUCCAUCACUACAAACAGGAACACCCCUUGGAGCAAUAACACCCAAAUACCUGAAAUGUGAAGAUGACAAGCAUGAGUAUCCUCUCCUUUUGUGCCUGAAUUUCC
rnacentral:lncRNA from 1 species